rnacentral:lncRNA from 1 species
AAAGGAUGCUGCCUGAUUUCACAGCUUGAUGAUGCCAUGAUUUCGGGGCCAGCAUGGACCUCUUGCUCUCCUUCAGUGGACAUACUUUCUAUCCAUCCCAUUGUCUUCCUGGCAGAUGCCUUCCAGUGUCACCAACAGGACGAAAAGAACAUCAAAGCCUUCCUUGAACUCUGACUUCUCGUGGCUGACGUUGUUUUUCCAGCUGGCUGAUAAAUGCCCAGGAUGGCUGGGCCUUACCACCUGCUUCUUCCUUGUUGAGGUCCCAUUUCUACCUGCCUCUCUUCCUUUCUUCUCUCCCUCGCCAGCUCUCUCUGAGAUACCCACUGGAGACCAUUGAUGACCUUCAGUCAUCGAAUGCAUUGUCUUCUCAGCCUUCAUCCACUCACACCCAGAAGCCUUGGACAGCGUAGAUCACUUGAUCUGUGUGGACUGCGCUCAAGUCCUCCAUCAGGCUGACUGAGGUUGAAUCCCGCUUGCAUGGUUUGGUUGUUUUGCUGUAUGGCCAUAGCCCAGUUACUCUGCCUCUUAUACUUCUGUGUACUUAUCCACAAAAUAGAGAUAAUAACACUACUUACCUCACAGAGGAGGCCGUGGAAUUAUGCAUGUAAACAACUCAGACAAUGCCUGGAAGGAAAGCCAGCCAGGUUAACUAUUAACAUGAAGCCUCCUUGUAUCACCCUAGGAACUCUCCACACCUCUGAGCUUUGCCUUAAGUCUUGUCUUCAAACAGCCAUCUUGUUUGGAGCUCGGCCUCUGCACCUGACUCUCCCUCUUGACCAGAGGCUCCAGACAGUGAAUAUUGGCUUUAACAGCAAUUGGGAGUUCUGUGCCCAUGUAUGGAACACAGAUGAAGCUUUUCUCUUAUUCUUCUGGGGCUCCGUAUCCUGACUUAGAAUGUGGGAGCAACUGUUGGGGUACAAGGAGGGCCCCCGUAGAUACUGUCAUUACAAAUCUAAUAGAUACAACUCAUCUUCUCCUUGGAAGACUCCACCUCAAAUCCAUGAACCUGUCUGAGCUUGCACUCAUGGCUCCAUACCUGAGUCAGUCAUUUAAAUCAAUUCCACCUUAGGAAAUGGUGUGAGUGAGGCUAGGAUCAUGCAAUAGCCAGGGUCUGGGACGAGACAGGCGCUGAGGAUGUCUGAACAUUGAAAGGACACAUUAGGAGGAAUGCAUGAUGGCACAAAGCAAGUGAUAACUGACAUGGAACUCCUGCCCCCCCCCCACCCCACCUCCUGUGAAGCUGUCCUAGGGUCUCCUGUAGUUACUCUGAAAUAAAAUUAUUCCCUUUCUUUAUCUUUCCCCUUUAGACACCCAGGGUCUGUUUCCUUUGAAAGCGAGAUAGCACCCCUUAGGGCUUCUUCCUUGCUUGGUGCUUUUCUAUGUUUGUGCUGCCCUUCUUUCUGUUCUUUAAACCCAGCACACAUAGAGGUCCUUGCUGCUGACUCUGGAUUUCCAAAAGAUCUCCAGGGAAGAGUGUCUCAAGAUAGCCACUAGCCCAGACUUUUCAUCUGAACUUCAGACCUGGAGUUCUGACUCCACCGCAUGCCUAUUUAGUACAGCAUUCUUGAAGUGUAAAAUGCUCUACACAUGCCACUCAUUAACCCCACAAUUUGACUUAGUGUCAUCUCCCCACAAUUUUUCUUCAACUCCCAAUACUAGGAAUUAUUCUGAGAUAAUUCUUCCCUUGCUUUGAACCCCGAUCCCAUGGGACACAGACAUAUUUUACUCAGUCAGACCCUGCCUCACUAAUCUCACUGUUUCCCUCUGAGACCUAAUGUGGGGUGGGUAGGGAAGAGAUUCCUCCCUCACCGAGAGUCACCAGAAUGUGCCUCGCAUGGUCUUACCUCUCUCCCUUCUUAUAUUCCUCCACCACUCUCACCUUGGGUCAGAUCUACCUUGAAACCUUGAUUUCAUCUGCCAGUAUUUCCCUCGAGACCCUGACCUUGUCUGUCUCUUAUGUGCUCCAAAACUCACUGAAAAUAAUGCCCUAGUGGUGAAGCCCAGGAGUGAGAGCGCUGAGACCUUCUUUGCUCAUGACGUCCCAAAUCUCUCUACUCCGGCUGGGCAGAGCCUGGGAGUGUCCAUCUUGGCUGUCCCUAGUGGAUGCUUGCCUAGGCCGUCCUGGGGAAAACUGAGCCUGACUUGGCUGCUGUUGAGGGACCCCUCUACCCUUAGUUUUCUUUUAUCAGAGCCCCAGGUGCUAUCAGAAUCGUGCUCCUGAGACCCUGCACACUGACUUGGAGCCAAGUGUGUUAGAACAGCCAUAGUUUCAUUCCACAGCUGAAACCCUCAGGGCCUACACCAGCUCUGCUACCACUCAGGAUUCACUUUCUUACCCACGGAACAUUUUCUACGGACUCAGUGCCUUUUUUCCAAAAUAUUCAUAUCUAACUAAAUUAUUACAUGCAUUUCCUGUGAGUUGUCUCAAGUUCUCCUCGGAACAAGGUGAGGAAUAGAUUAAUAUUUAAAAUAAAACAAAGUGCCAGUGUGUGUGUGUGUGUGUGUGUGUGUGUGUGUCUUAGUUUGAAAAUUCCUUAAGGGCAGGGGCCAUGUCUGUUUAUAUAGCACCUGGCACAGUGUCAAAUUAAGGCUUAACAAAUGAAUUCAGAUGAAAAGAGAAAAAGCAGCAGAGACUCUUGGCCUCAGUCCUCCAAACACCCUCUUUGUUAAAGGUACUCAUGCUGACCGCGAAUUCUCAGGCUGCUUCUGGCCAUACAGGUUUGGCCUGUCAACCUCAUCUGUCCCCAUACUGGCCAUAACCUACCUGACCCUUGCACAUACUGAACUCACCAAGGCUACUUUUCAUUCCCAGACAAGCCACAUCCAUGCCUGGUUCGGAGCUUUACCCCUAAACAACCCACCUAGAACAUUGCUGUGGCCUAUCAUGCUUGUUCAAUAUGGCUACACAUUUCCUAAGAAAUGCCACAAGCUGAGGUGUUUGAGGUUCCUGUCCCCACACCUUGGCCCUGUGGGGGUCUCCAGCCAGGCAGGGGCCUGACAGAGGGAGGGAGAGGAUAAGCUGCCUUCAAAACUCCAGAUGCAGCAGUUAAAAAGAGGACAGAGGCAAUGAUCCUGCAAAUUGCCACAUCUGUAUAAUCUGCCUUUUAUUUUCUGCUUCAUGAAGUUUUAUUUCCUAUUAUUUAUUCACCUCCCCGCAUUCCCCUCCCCCGCCUCCACUCCUCUUUAGCAGGCGACAUGCUCAGAUGGGUCCUAAGCCUUGGCCUGGGUCUGGCUACCCCCAUCCCACUUAGCCCCUCCUUGGCUGGCUUCUGAGAGAAGGCACCUGCUCCCCUCCUCUAGCUCCUUUGCUUUCUCACCCAGGGCAUCUGGGGGCUGCCACUCUCCGCAUCUUGUGUUCCAGUAACCUUGCUCCAUUCUCCUGUGGAGCCCUAAUGAAACACAUGAGAGGGGUAGAGGAUCAUGGAGGUAGGGCCUGUCACUGUCUCCAUCCCCAGGACUCCUAUGACAUCUGCACUCCGUGUUCUCCCCACCAUACAUUUUCUCCCUUGCUGAGCUUGUCAUCUCCCAUUCCCUACCAGCUAGCUUAACCUCUCAGUGUUCUCUCCAGCUAAGUGGGCCUGUGGCCAGGAAAGGUGGGAGACAGUGUACCAGUAAAGACAUGCAGGAAGGUACACCCAUCUGUGUUGUGUGUUGUUUGCACCUCCCAUUUCCAGGUGCAAGAAAAAAGAAGCAAGUCUGAGAGGUGAAGGGCCCCUGCAGGGGCCAGUCUUUCCCAUGAACUAGAAUCAGGACAAGACCAAAAAGGAUGGUUAGAAUAGCCAGGUGAGAAUUUGGGAAAAAAACAAUGGCAUUAUUUUAUUAUUCUGUUAUGGAGGAUUGAGCUCAAGAAGUCCUGUAUGGGAGGCGAGCAGUCUUCCACCAAGCUUGGCAUUGACAAGUUAAGUCUUCCUUGCCUGAUGAUUCCAAUUCCUCUCCAGGUCACAGACAGAGGGCACCUUGCAGGCAGUGCUCCUGAUGGCCAGCUGCAGAUAAAGGCCAGCCUUGCCAGAGGCUGAGCAGCCUGAGAGUUUCAUUCACUCCCUAUUCCGUGUGUAUUCUCUUGUGAUUUUCAGUCCUUUCCUGUUUAGCGAUUCCCAUUUGUGCAAAAUCCCAUUUCUAAACACUAAGAUUUUUGUUCUUCGUGGGGUGGGGUGAUGAUUCCUAUUCAACUUAUCUUGUUUGUUUCUUAUGUUUGCUAAACACACAAAGGAAUGACUCCAUGGCAGGUGUUUCAAGGAAGACUUCUGAAUAAAUAGACUGUGAAGUUAA